rnacentral:rRNA from 1 species
GUGCCGCAGCUAACGCAUUAAGCACUCCGCCUGGGGAGUACGACCGCAAGGUUGAAACUCAAAGGAAUUGACGGGGGCCCGCACAAGCGGUGGAGCAUGUGGUUUAAUUCGAAGCUACGCGAAGAACCUUACCAGGUCUUGACAUCUUGCGCCAACCCUAGAGAUAGGGCGUUUCCUUCGGGAACGCAAUGACAGGUGGUGCAUGGUCGUCGUCAGCUCGUGUCGUGAGAUGUUGGGUUAAGUCCCGCAACGAGCGCAACCCUUGUUACUAGUUGCCAGCAUUCAGUUGGGCACUCUAGUGAGACUGCCGGUGACAAACCGGAGGAAGGUGGGGACGACGUCAGAUCAUCAUGCCCCUUAUGACCUGGGCUACACACGUGCUACAAUGGACGGUACAACGAGUCGCGAACUCGCGAGGGCAAGCUAAUCUCUUAAAACCGUUCUCAGUUCGGACUGCAGGCUGCAACUCGCCUGCACGAAGUCGGAAUCGCUAGUAAUCGCGGAUCAGCAUGCCGCGGUGAAUACGUUCCCGGGCCUUGUACACACCGCCCGUCACACCAUGAGAGU